rnacentral:misc_RNA from 1 species
UUUCCGUAGGUGAACCUGCGGAAGGAUCAUUACAGAGUACCGGUGCCUUCGGGCGCCUACUCCCACCCUUUGUGAACUUAAUUCUGUUGCUUUGGCGGGCCGGGUGCUCACGCGCCGCCGGCCCAGGCUGGAGAGCGCCCGCCAGAGGACCAUUUAAACUCUGCUCACCGUGGCAUCUGAGUAAACAAAAAUUGAAUCAAAACUUUCAACAACGGAUCUCUUGGUUCUGGCAUCGAUGAAGAACGCAGC